CCUACGGGAGGCAGCAGUGAGGAAUAUUGGUCAAUGGUCGUAAGCCUGAACCAGCCAAGUAGCGUGAAGGAUGACGGCCCUAUGGAUUGUAAACUUCUUUUAUAAGGGGAUAAAAUGCGGCACGUGUGCUGUUUUGUAUGUACCUUAUGAAUAAGGAUCGGCUAAUUCCGUGCCAGCAGCCGCGGUAAUACGGAGGAUCCGGGCGUUAUCCGGAUUUAUUGGGUUUAAAGGGAGCGUAGGCGGCAUUUUAAGUCAGCGGUGAAAGUCCGUGGUUCAACCAUGGAAUUGCCGCUCAAACUGGGAGGCUUGAGUAUGUUUGAGGCAGGCGGAAUGCGUGGUGUAGCGGUGAAAUGCUUAGAUAUCACGAAGAACCCCGAUUGCGAAGGCAGCAUGCCAAGGCAUGACUGACGCUGAUGCACGAAAGCGUGGGUAUCAAACAGGAUUAGAUACCCGUGUAGUC
rnacentral:rRNA from 1 species